UCUCGAUGACUCUGAGGAUUUUGUCAUGGCAACCUUGUUCUGGACAAACUUCGGACCCUUCUUCUGCUUGCUUCAAGGAUAUGGCUAGAACUUUAUUUCCAUCUGCAGUGUUAAGCGAUGUGAUGCACAGUCACACUAUUAUGUUCGGUUCCCUCCCACCUCCGGGCUCCUCUGAAGAAUCACCUCCCUUGGUUCUGGGCACGGUGCAAGGCAUUGCUCCCCAAGUCCCUUCAUCUUAGGUGUUUCACAAUUCGGAUCUACCUGAGGCAAAGAUUGAUCACCCAGUUACGGUCACUAUUCAUCAGCACUUUUACUCUACUGGGAAAGAAUCAUCCGCCAAUCGAGUGAUGAAGAACUCUUCUGACAAAGAUUCUUCUCUUGCUUCCUUGGGGCGUAAGACUACUGACAAGCUGCUUGAUAUGGACCCUUGAUCCGUCUACUGGGGCCAAGCUAUGGUUCUACAAGAAGCCGAAGUUUGAUGAUUCGUUGGCUGCUUCAUCUGUGCUGGAACUCACCGUCAUCAAGAACCUUAUCACUGAUUAUUUCUCUUUUUCUGCAUGCCUAGUGUCUCUUCUCUCUGCUCUCAAACUUUGGAUUGCUGAGAUGUCUUCUUCCCUGGAGUCCCUUCCUUUUGCCCUAGUUGAUACAUUGGUCAAUCGAGCUAAUGAAGGUUUUGACUCCACAUGUGAUAUGGGGGAUACUCCUAUGCCAGACUGGGAGAAAUGUCAUUUCUUUAGCAUGGUGACCAUCGUGACUUAUCUUAUCUGGGCCCACAGAAAUGAUGUGGUGGUUCGACAUUUAAAUCCGAAUCCAACCACACUUGUACUGCAUAUUUCCCGAUGGCUUGCUAAGCUUCAAUUAAGCAUGGAUACUAAAUUAUCCAAUCUUUCUUCCUCUGUUACAAAUCAUUCAGAGAUCAUCUUGAGCAGGGAUUUCUCUCUACCCAUUUUGCCUUCUUAUAUAUUAGUAUGUCUUGGCUUUACUAAGUCCUUGAGAUCAAACUCUUUUUGGAUAUGUGGUGUUCUCUUGCAAGGUAGAUUUUCAGCAUCUUGCCCAACGACCCUCCCUAUUUUCUUCUUUGAAGGAAAUAGAAGUUGAAGGAAUUUUGCAUGGCUUGAAGUUGGCGAAGGAAAAGGGUUGGACCAUCUCUAAAGUUCUGUUAUCUUCCAAGGCAUUACUUCAGCUUAUUCCGACGCCCUCUGACCGCAGCUGGCCUCUCUACAGUAUUGGUGCAUUUUGAGACCUUUAUAAGACUUUUGGGCAUCUUAAGUUUCUGUAUAAAUGUUGGGAUUCUAACGUUCCUAUGUUAUAUUUACAAACCUUAUGUAACCGAGACAGGAGAGUGAGUAGUACUCUUUCUGUGUAAUGGUUUUUUU